rnacentral:rRNA from 1 species
UGGGUAACACUAACUGGAGGACCGAACCGACUAAUGUUGAAAAAUUAGCGGAUGACUUGUGGCUGGGGGUGAAAGGCCAAUCAAACCGGGAGAUAGCUGGUUCUCCCCGAAAGCUAUUUAGGUAGCGCCUCGUGAAUUCAUCUCCGGGGGUAGAGCACUGUUUCGGCAAGGGGGUCAUCCCGACUUACCAACCCGAUGCAAACUGCGAAUACCGGAGAAUGUUAUCACGGGAGACACACGGCGGGUGCUAACGUCCGUCGUGAAGAGGGAAACAACCCAGACCGCCAGCUAAGGUCCCAAAGUCAUGGUUAAGUGGGAAACGAUGUGGGAAGGCCCAGACAGCCAGGAUGUUGGCUUAGAAGCAGCCAUCAUUUAAAGAAAGCGUAAUAGCUCACUGGUCGAGUCGGCCUGCGCGGAAGAUGUAACGGGGCUAAACCAUGCACCGAAGCUGCGGCAGCGACGCUUAUGCGUUGUUGGGUAGGGGAGCGUUCUGUAAGCCUGUGAAGGUGUACUGUGAGGUAUGCUGGAGGUAUC